rnacentral:rRNA from 1 species
AUGCCUAUUAGGGCCUCCCUCUAUGCAGACGACAUCGCCAUUUUUCUGGCCCCAAACAAGGAUGAUGCCAAGUUCUUUGCUGAAACUUUGAAGCAUUUUGGAGAGGUCACUGGACUGAUCACGAACCGCAACAAAAGCAUUCUGGCCCCAAUCCGUUGUGAGAAUCUCGACCUCACGGACAUCCUUCAAUCUUUCCCGGCCAACCUUUCUUCAUUCCCUAUGAAAUACCUUGGUCUCCCUCUGUUAGUGAAGAGGCUUAACCGGAUCCACUUUCAACCGCUUGAGGAUAAGAUCGCGGCCCAAGUUGCGCCUUGGUUGGGAAAACAUGUGGCCUCUCCUCGGAGGGCUGCUUUGGUACAAUCUGUUCUCACGGCCACCACAAUUUACUUCAUGACAACCUUGAAUCUUCUGGUCGAUCUCCUAAACAAGAUUGAUGCUCUGCGGCGGGCUUAUUUAUGGGUAGGAUGUGAUAAAGUUACCGGUGGCAAAUGCCAAAUUAAUUGGGUGCAAGUUUGCAAAUCAAAAACUCAAGGAGGCCUGGGUAUCCUAAAUAUAUAA